rnacentral:rRNA from 1 species
UUGAACGCUGGCGGCAGGCCUAACACAUGCAAGUCGAGCGGAUGAAGGGAGCUUGCUCCUGGAUUCAGCGGCGGACGGGUGAGUAAUGCCUAGGAAUCUGCCUGGUAGUGGGGGAUAACGUCCGGAAACGGGCGCUAAUACCGCAUACGUCCUGAGGGAGAAAGUGGGGGAUCUUCGGACCUCACGCUAUCAGAUGAGCCUAGGUCGGAUUAGCUAGUUGGUGGGGUAAAGGCCUACCAAGGCGACGAUCCGUAACUGGUCUGAGAGGAUGAUCAGUCACACUGGAACUGAGACACGGUCCAGACUCCUACGGGAGGCAGCAGUGGGGAAUAUUGGACAAUGGGCGAAAGCCUGAUCCAGCCAUGCCGCGUGUGUGAAGAAGGUCUUCGGAUUGUAAAGCACUUUAAGUUGGGAGGAAGGGCAGUAAGUUAAUACCUUGCUGUUUUGGCGUUACCAACAGAAUAAGCACCGGCUAACUUCGUG